UACGGAGGGUGCAAGCGUUAUCCGGAUUCACUGGGUUUAAAGGGUGCGUAGGUGGGUCUGUAAGUCAGUGGUGAAAUCUCCGAGCUUAACUCGGAAACUGCCAUUGAUACUAUAGAUCUUGAAUAUCCUGGAGGUGAGCGGAAUAUGUCAUGUAGCGGUGAAAUGCUUAGAUAUGACAUAGAACACCAAUUGCGAAGGCAGCUCACUACUGGAUCAUUGACACUGAGGCACGAAAGCGUGGGGAUCAAACAGG
rnacentral:rRNA from 1 species